rnacentral:lncRNA from 1 species
UGGAGGCAUUAUAUUGUCUGCACCUCUCUUGUAGAUUUGUCCAAGCUCCAUGAGCUGUUUCAGUUUGCAUGAAGGUGAAGGCUAUCCUGAGGAGAAACACUAUUUACUAUCCAAGACAUUAUCAACUCAUUUAUAUCUCCCAUGCUUCAUAUUCUUUUCCUGUGCUUUCUUUUGGUUUCAUGACUACUCUGCCACUGAUGAAGGUAAUUUUUUGCCUAGAUAGUAGAGACAACUUCAUGGCAUUAGCCCAUGUUGCAUAAUUAGACUCCCUAACAAGAUUAUCAGAAACCAUCAAUGCUCAUGGGUGAUCACCAGAAGGUAAUAGCUAGAUUGACUCUCGAUCAUUAAUUGAUGGCAGAGAUCUGAUCUGAUUUUUUCGACCUACUUGAAUGAUGAGACUUGUGGUGAGUCUUGCGUCGAUGUCUAACUGAUAUCUGAGACUUCCGACAUAGAGAAUGUAAAAUUGAUGGUGGAGAGGUUGCAGAGUUGGAUUCAGACGUCGUGAUGACCUUAGACGUCUGGAGAAAUCACAGCUUCAAGGACUUUCUUUUUUACGGAAGAGUGGUCGGAUUUUUCAACUGAUACCAUGUUAAACGGUGAGUGGGUUCUUCCGUCAAGAGAUUGGGGAAGAACGGAGUAGCGUCCGCAACUAGAGGCUCGUCAAACAU